UAACAGUUGGAAACGGCUGCUAAUACCGCAUAAGCGCACGGCAUCGCAUGAUGCAGUGUGAAAAACUCCGGUGGUAUAAGAUGGACCCGCGUUGGAUUAGCUAGUUGGUGAGGUAACGGCCCACCAAGGCGACGAUCCAUAGCCGACCUGAGAGGGUGACCGGCCACAUUGGGACUGAGACACGGCCCAAACUCCUACGGGAGGCAGCAGUGGGGAAUAUUGCACAAUGGGCGAAAGCCUGAUGCAGCGACGCCGCGUGAGCGAAGAAGUAUUUCGGUAUGUAAAGCUCUAUCAGCAGGGAAGAUAAUGACGGUACCUGACUAAGAAGCACCGGCUAAAUACGUGCCAGCAGCCGCGGUAAUACGUAUGGUGCAAGCGUUAUCCGGAUUUACUGGGUGUAAAGGGAGCGCAGGCGGUGCGGCAAGUCUGAUGUGAAAGCCCGGGGCUCAACCCCGGUACUGCAUUGGAAACUGUCGUACUAGAGUGUCGGAGGGGUAAGCGGAAUUCCUAGUGUAGCGGUGAAAUGCGUAGAUAUUAGGAGGAACACCAGUGGCGAAGGCGGCUUACUGGACGAUAACUGACGCUGAGGCUCGAAAGCGUGGGGAGCAAACAGGAUUAGAUACCCUGGU
rnacentral:rRNA from 1 species